rnacentral:rRNA from 1 species
GAAAUGCGAUAAGUAAUGUGAAUUGCAGAAUUCAGUGAAUCAUCGAAUCUUUGAACGCACCUUGCACCUUUUGGUAUUCCGAAAGGUACACCCGUUUGAGUGUCAUUGUAAUCUCACUCCUUCAACUUUGUUGUUGCUGGACGUGGACUUGGACUCUGUCGUGUUACAACGACUGGUCUGAAAUGCCUGAGUGCACCCUGCUGUUGCAGCGUCUUCAGUGUGAUAAGCAUCUUCACUGAUUCAAGUUCCUUCGGGACACGUAGCAUUGUGGGCUCUGUGCUGACAAACCGUCUUUGGACAAUCUUUGACAAUUCGACCUCAAAUCGGGUGGGACUACCCGCUGAACUUAAGCAUAUCAAUAAGCGGAGGAAAAGAAACU